rnacentral:rRNA from 1 species
GAUGAACGCUGGCGGCGUGCUUAACACAUGCAAGUCGAACGAGAAGUGAAGACGGAAACCUUCGGGCGGAAGGCUUUAUUUCGAGUGGCGGACGGGUGAGUAACGCGUGGGUAACCUGCCUCAUACAGGGGGAUAACAGUUGGAAACGACUGUUAAUACCGCAUAAGACCACAGCACCGCAUGGUGCGGGGGUAAAAACUCCGGUGGUAUGAGAUGGACCCGCGUUCGAUUAGCCAGUUGGCGGGGUAACGGCCCACCAAAGCGACGAUCGAUAGCCGAUCUGAGAGGAUGACCGGCCACAUUGGGACUGAGACACGGCCCAAACUCCUACGGGAGGCAGCAGUGGGGAAUAUUGCACAAUGGGGGAAACCCUGAUGCAGUGACGCCGCGUGAGUGAAGAAGUAUUUCGGUAUGUAAAGCUCUAUCAGCAGGGAAGAAAAUGACGGUACCUGAGUAAGAAGCCCCGGCUAACUACGUG